UACAUAGGGGGCAAGCGUUGUCCGGAUUUAUUGGGCGUAAAGAGCGUGUAGGCGGCUAGAUAGGUCCGUUGUGAAAACUCGAGGCUCAACCUCGAGACGUCGAUGGAAACCAUCUGGCUAGAGUCCGGAAGAGGAGAGUGGAAUUCCUGGUGUAGCGGUGAAAUGCGCAGAUAUCAGGAAGAACACCCGUGGCGAAGGCGGCUCUCUGGUACGUGACUGACGCUGAGACGCGAAAGCGUGGGGAGCGAACAGG
rnacentral:rRNA from 1 species